rnacentral:rRNA from 1 species
GACAGAGGUGCCGAGCGUUAGGCGGAAUCACUGGGCUUAAAGCGUGUGUAGGCGGACUUCUAAGUACCUUGUGAAAUCCCACGGCUCAACCGUGGAACUGCUUGGUAUACUGGUUGUCUUGAGCCACUUAGGGGCAGUCGGAACAGACGGUGGAGCGGUGAAAUGCGUAGAUAUCGGAAAGGAACAUCAGUGGCGAAAGCGACUUCCUGGACCAGUACCGACGUUCAGGCACGAAAGCGUGGGGAGCAAACAGG